ensembl:lncRNA novel transcript
UAUCCAUAGUUUCUUUAAAAUAGUAAUAUUUUAAGCCACUCAAAAUAAGAAAAAGUCAAAGUUCACAAUAAAAAGAUCCUGAUAUACCUGAAUAAGAUUUGAAAAGUGAAGAACAAUUCCUUCCACCUGAAAAGGGUGUUGACCCAGAAUCCACCUCUGACGACCCUCUAGAGCUGGCAAGUCAGCAUCAUUCCCAGUGCACCUGUGACUGAUGACACAUCUCACCCAGCUGCCAUAGGGAUGUCAAAGACACGGGAUACAGUGCUGGAAAGGGAAAAAGCAUCAGUGCAAAAGUAGAUUUCAGGAUUUGGAGCACGGAGGCAAGUGCCCUCUCCUGGCAUCCCCGCAUGGGGCCAUGGUGAGGAGGCUCUGCAGUCUUCCAGGACGACUGGACCAUGGAUAGGAAAUACCCAAGACAUGGAUUCUCUGGGGACAUGGGCGAUUCCAAAAGCACCGAGGAGUGUGCCCCUAGAGAAGCAGUCCAUUGGGUCCAUAGUAAAAUCUCAUAGCAUAACCAACAGUGGAGACCAGAGACUAAAAAUCUGUAACAUCCUUGGAGUCCAUGGACCUCGAAGCCAAACACAACAGCCCCACGAGCAUCUGCCAUCCAGGCAUGGAGAGCUAGGGGUGAGCUUCUUAGAGUAAAGGAGGCUUCUUCCCUGUUCAGAUGUGUGAACGGUUGGGUUUACAGAUAAUGGAGGUGUCUGUGUAUGUUGUCAUGAAAAUAUAAGGCAAGUGGCACCAAAUGUGAUUUAGCGGUCCCAGAAAUUCAGUGCUGCGUGCUUUCUACAUGACAUUAAUUUUAAUUAUAUGUACACAGGAGAAAAUUUAAAAUUGAAAUGUCUUAUCAUUGCUAGAAAAACAGAAGUUUUUUCCCUACGAGUUAGAAAUCUUGAUCUCUGCGUUUUUCUAUGGAUCGAUUCUCAAAGUUUGUGCAAAUACAGUCGGUGUUUCUCUCUAAGUGUCUUUGGUUAUGAACUAAGGAUGUAACCAACUCCUGCUUAUUAGGUAAAGGGAUGAGGCAAGAGAGAUCCAGCAACAGGGUAUGGUUAUUUUUCAGUCUUUGGCAACAUUUUUCUUCGUGAUGUCAAAAGUAGUGAACUCCCUGACUAGGGUUUCAGACAUGGGCUGUUCUAAUCCACCAAACACCAAACGGCUGGGGAAGAAGAGAUUUGGACAUGGAUAACCAGUGUCACCUACAACAUGGAAUGGAGGGUCGUCAAAAUGGUCUGAGUCACUUUAAUAUGUGGCUGGAGAGAUGCGAGAACAACAGAAAGAGCCCUCAGGAGGCAUCCCCACCCAAGGUCAGUGAAGCUCAGUGCAGCUGCAGGGUGUGGGGUCAUAGGGUGACCAGGUGACCGGGCUGAUGGGGAGGAAAAAUGCUCUGUUAAGGGUGUUGUCUCUGUCACCUCUUCAAGAAGCAGCACAGUCUCAGGCACAUGUUCCCUCCUGCUCCCCGCCACACACACACACAGACCCACUGCAGCUCUUCCAAGAUUCUUCCCUCCAUUCUGGGACCUCCCCUUCCUCCUGAGCCCCUGUGGCCUCUAUCUUACUCCCUUUCCCCAGUUCUUUGUACCUCCCUCCUCUCCCUCACUCAUGUCCCCUCCCAUGCAAAGCCCCUACUGGUUCCCCCUUCCCCACUUCACCUCCACUCACACUCCAUCUUCACCCUCCAUUCCAGUCCUUCCCUUCCUCUCCUCACUCUGACUCCCCUGAUAAACUCACUUCCCAUCCCCUCUGUCCAUGUCCCUGCCUCAGUUUACCUCCCUUCCCCUCUCCUCACCUCCCUUGGAUGCACCUGACCUCUCCCGCCUCCCUCCCCUUCAUUCAUGCCCUUCCCUUCUUCGCUCUCCAGUUCCAUCUCCUCCAACAUGCUCCCCUCCCCCUUUCCUUCAGCCUCUGUUGACCUCUCCACCCUCCCGCAGUCCCCUGCCCUCUCCUGCUAAGGCCAUCCCUCCCAGCCAUCCCCGCCCUCCCUACGUCAUCUCAGUUGGCUCCAUGUCCCUCAGCUCCCAUCCCCUCCUUCUUCCCUGCCCUGAGAGCCAUCCGGGUUUCCUUUCCAGUCUCCCUCUGCUCCUGUGCUUUCUUCCCCUUCCCUCACUUCCCCUGCUCUGUCUUCUCCUCAGUUCCCCGCCCUCCCUCUCUGCACCUGCCCAGUUUCCCCCAUCUCCCCUCCAUGCUCCCUUCCUCCCCAGCUCCUGAGUUGGACCACCUCAGCUCAGCGCCCUACUUCCUGUGCCUGCCCCUGCCUGCUGCCCACCAUCCCUGCACACAGCUCACUCCUCCCUCUGGCCCUCCUGCUGAGCAGGCGGCUCCCCCACUGCCCUGGGCCUGCCCACCUUCCCCAGCCCCCGCAGUCAAGGCUCUCCAACUCCACACCACCGGGGUGAGGGCAGAGAGGCACCCUCUCCAGGGCUGCGCUUCCUCCAGCAGGUACCAGCUCCUCCCCCUCAACUAAGCUCCAUGGCCCAUCCCUGCCCUGGGGGCGACACCACAGGGACCUUCCGCUCACCUUGCCAGGCUUUUCAGAGGCCUCGGAGCUGUGGUCAGGCAGGCGAAUGGGGAGCAAGCCAGGGGUUACAGAUCCAGAGCCUAGGGCAGUCCAGGCAGGGGGGGCUGUGGUCCCCUGUGACCACUUCUGUGACCUUGCCACUUGAAUCCUCCAGGGCCUGUGUCCUCACCUCCAACGUGAAGAUCAGGCUGGGCCAUUAUUGCAGAGCUGUGCUGAGUGUUGAAGAAGGUGCGUGUCACGCGUUAUUAUAGGUAGCUGGUGUUUCCUGAGCGUUUGGAAACGACGCUUUGUAAAAUACUGUGAACUAACCGCAGAGCUGGGCACAGCAUGCUUCAUGAUCUCAUUUUAUACUGACGUGUUUAGUCAUCGUGCUGUCAAGUAUUCUCCAGCCACAUCAUUUGUUAGUAGUUUGACCUGCAUAGGAGGGCACUGUCACCCUCCCUCCUGCUGUGCUGAUUUCAGCUGGAGCCGCCAGGCCAGGCCGCCUCACGCGCCCCCUGCUGACUAACCCGGGAACUGCCCGCAGCCUGCUCUGAGCUUUCUGAUGUGGGCGGGACCGGGCCGGGCAGGGCCAGGCGCCUGCGGGGAGGGGCGGGGCCCGGCGACUGAGGGGAGGGGCGGGGCCAGGCGCCUGCGGGAGGAGACCUGGUCCAGGAUCAAGGAGUCGCUCAGUGCAGGACCGGCCCAGAGUUCACAUCCCUGGCUUGAUCUACAGGUAAAUUUUUUUUGUAUACUUUAAGUUCUAGGGUACAGGUGCACAACGUGCAGGUUUGUUACAUAGGUAUACAUGUGCCAUGUUGGCUUGCUGCACCCAUAAACUCGUCAUUUACAUUAGGUAUUUCUCCUAAUGCUUUCCCUCCCCCACUCCCCCACCUCCCCUACUGGCCCUGGUGUGUGAUGUUCCCCGCCCUGUGUCCAAGUGUUCUCAUUGUUCAGUUCCCACUUAUGAGUGAGAACAUGCGGUGUUUGGUUUUCUGUCCUUGUGAUAGUUUGCUGAGAAAGAUGGUUUCCAGUUUAAUCCAUGUCCCUGCAAUGGACAUGAAUUCAUCUUUUUUAUGGCUGCAUAGUAUUCCGUGGUGUAUAUAUGCCACAUUUUCUUAAUCUACUCUGUUAUUGAUGGACAUUUGGGUUGGUUCCAAGUCUUUGCUAUUGUGAAUAGUGCCGCAAUAAACAUAUGGACCUACACGU